AUUGAACGCUGGCGGCAGGCUUAACACAUGCAAGUCGAGCGGGGGGAGGUAGCUUGCUACCGGACCUAGCGGCGGACGGGUGAGUAAUGCUUAGGAAUCUGCCUAUUAGUGGGGGACAACAUCUCGAAAGGGAUGCUAAUACCGCAUACGUCCUACGGGAGAAAGCAGGGGAUCUUCGGACCUUGCGCUAAUAGAUGAGCCUAAGUCGGAUUAGCUAGUUGGUGGGGUAAAGGCCUACCAAGGCGACGAUCUGUAGCGGGUCUGAGAGGAUGAUGCGCCACACUGGGACUGAGACACGGCCCAGACUCCUACGGGAGGCAGCAGUGGGGAAUAUUGGACAAUGGGGGGAACCCUGAUCCAGCCAUGCCGCGUGUGUGAAGAAGGCCUUAUGGUUGUAAAGCACUUUAAGCGAGGAGGAGGCUACUCUAGUUAAUACCUAGGGAUAGUGGACGUUACUCGCAGAAUAAGCACCGGCUAACUCUGUGCCAGCCGCCGCGGUAA
rnacentral:rRNA from 1 species